CCUACGGGGGGCAGCAGUGGGGAAUAUUGCACAAUGGGGGAAACCCUGAUGCAGCGACGCCGCGUGAGUGAAGAAGUCUUUCGGUAUGUAAAGCUCUAUCAGCAGGGAAGAAAAUGACGGUACCUGACUCAGAAGCCCCGGCUAACUACGUGCCAGCAGCCGCGGUAAUACGGAGGGGGCAAGCGUUAUCCGGAUUUACUGGGUGUAAAGGGAGCGUAGAAGGCGCGGCAAGUCUGAUGUGAAAGGCAGGGGCUUAACCCCUGAACUGCUUUUGAAACUGGCAGGCUAGAGUGCUGUAGAGGUAAGUGGAAGUACUGGUGUAGCGGUGAAAUGCGUAGAGAUUAGGAGGAACACCGGUGGCGAAGGCGGCUUACUGGACAGUAACUGACGUUGAGGCUCGAAAGCGUGGGGAGCAAACAGGAUUAGAUACCCGAGUAGUC
rnacentral:rRNA from 1 species